GUUAAAUUUCAUUGCGUUACUUGCGCGAGUGAAGUGGUGACACGAGCAAUGAUAGCUUAGCCGCGUCGCAACUAUUUGCAUGAAAAUCCGGACACUAGUGUUCGCAAUUCGCAAACGUCACUGACAGCAACAUGGCGUCGAAAAAAAACUUGUGGUCAUAGCUGCAAUGCUUUUGCUGGAAGAAGAUGACGAGGAGGUUAAAGAAAGUUACUCGCGCGAGUGAAGUGGUGAUACGAGCAAUGAUAGCUUAGCCGCGUCGCAACUAUUUGCGUGAAAAAACCCGGCACUAGUGUUUCGCAAUUCGCAAAUGUCACUGACAAGAAGAUGACGAGGUGGUUAAAGAGAAGAAACGUAUUUGGAGCCGGCACUGGCUUCUAGAGAGAAAAAAACAAAGGUUAUUUCGGUCAGCUUCUUCCCGAUCUGGCUGCCCACGACACACCAGGAUUUGAAAAAUUUAUGCGAAUGGA